rnacentral:rRNA from 1 species
AUUGAACGCUGGCGGCAGGCCUAACACAUGCAAGUCGAACGAGUGGCGGACGGGUGAGUAAUGUAUGGGGAACUGCCUGAUGGAGGGGGAUAACUACUGGGAACGGUUGCUAAUACCGCAUACAAUCUGAUGUGCCCAGAUGGGAUUAGGGUGUAGGUGGGGUAAAGGCUCACCAAGGCGACGAUCCCGAGCUGGUCUGAGAGGAUGACCAGCCACACUGGAACUGAGAAACGGCCCAGACUCCUACGGGAGGAAGCAGUGGGGAAUAGUGCACAAUGGGCGAAAGCCGGAUGGAGACAUGCCGCGUGGAUGAAGAAGGCUUUCGGGUUGUAAAGUACUGUCAUCGGGGAGGCGGUACCCGAAGAGGAAGCACCGGCUAACUCCGUGCCAGCAGCCGCGGUAAUUC